rnacentral:tRNA from 1 species
GUCUCUGUAGCUCAGUUGGUUAGAGCGCUGCACCGGAAUCGCAGGGCUGCCGGUUCGAUUCCUACCAGGGACC